GAUGAACGCUGGCGGCGUGCCUAAUACAUGCAAGUCGAGCGAACGGACGAGAAGCUUGCUUCUCUGAUGUUAGCGGCGGACGGGUGAGUAACACGUGGAUAACCUACCUAUAAGACUGGGAUAACUUCGGGAAACCGUAGCUAAUACCGGAUAAUAUUUUGAACCGCAUGGUUCAAAAGUGAAAGACGGUCUUGCUGUCACUUAUAGAUGGAUCCGCGCUGCAUUAGCUAGUUGGUAAGGUAACGGCUUACCAAGGCAACGAUGCAUAGCCGACCUGAGAGGGUGAUCGGCCACACUGGAACUGAGACACGGUCAAGACUCCUACGGGAGGCAGCAGUAGGGAAUCUUCCGAAAUGGGCGAAAGCCUGACGGAGCAACGCCGCGUGAGUGAUGAAGGUCUUCGGAUCGUAAAACUCUGUUAUUAGGGAAGAACAUAUGUGUAAGUAACUGUGCACAUCUUGACGGUACCUAAUCAGAAAGCCACGGCUAACUACGUG
rnacentral:rRNA from 1 species